rnacentral:rRNA from 1 species
AACGAACGCUGGCGGCAUGCCUAACACAUGCAAGUCGAACGAGACCUUCGGGUCUAGUGGCGCACGGGUGCGUAACGCGUGGGAACCUGCCCUUAGGUUCGGAAUACCUCCCCGAAAGGGGUGCUAAUACCGGAUAAUGUCUUCGGACCAAAGAUGUGUCGCCUUGGGAUGGGCCCGCGUUGGAUUCGCUGGUUGGUAGGGUAAAAGCCUACCAAGGCGACGAUCCAUAGCUGGUCUGAGAGGAGGACCAGCCACACUGGGACGGAGACACGGCCCAGACUCCUACGGGAGGCAGCAGUGGGGAAUAUUGGACAAUGGGCGAAAGCCUGACCCAGCAAUGCCGCGUGAGUGAUGAAGGCCUUAGGGUUGUAAAGCUCUUUUACCCGGGAUGAUAAUGACAGUACCGGGAGAAUAAGCACCGGCUAACUCCGUG